AUAUUUGGACCAAUCAAGCAAUGAACAAUAUAAGAAUAAUUUUAAAUGAGGAAAAAAGGACCACCUGAGAAGCCGAAUGAACAUACAAAGUAGUGUUACACAUCUCGAUCAUCUAGCACCCAGCCUAUACCCCCAGGAAAGCGAGAAAACAAAGGAAAAAAGAAGGGUCAUGGAAUCAAGCAGAACAUUUAAAAGCACACAAGAAGCUGAACAUUAAAGCCACCAAUAUAAAAAUAUUUGAACUAAAAAGAGAGAAAAAAACAAAUCCUUAAAAAAAUGCAAACAAUACGAUGUUUAUCUUCAAUAAUCCUAUAGAUAAAUCAUAAAUGAUUGUUUUGUAGUAGUUAACAAUAUUUUGUACAGCUUUAGAGACCAAACUACUUGAGCUCGAUGUCACUGUGGGCUCCCAACACCGGAAGCACAUUAAAAAGGAAAUUAUGUCAACUAACAUCCCAUAGAUAAUGAAUUAUAAUCAAGAACGUUAAAUAGAAGAUUUGGUUUUGGCUUAUCUUUUUGUUUUGCAGCCUACAGGCCAGUCUCUUUUGGCUGAAUCUAACUAGGCUAAUAAGUUAAACCAUUUGGCUUUGAGGGACUUCAUUUUUUCUAUUUCUUUGCAAUGGUUCUCUUAGAUCCAUUUUAAAGGAAUGAUUCUUGGGGUCCAUUUAUUUUCAUGUAUUACUUGUUAUUAAAUUGCUUGUUUGAGGUAGGGGUCUCUACAUUUAGGUUUAAACAUUCAUCUUUGAUUCGAAGUAAUUGUUGAUUUGGAAUUCUUUGUUUGCACCCUGAGGGCAUUAUUUAUAUAUGUGAAAAAUAAAAAAUAUUUAUGUUAUGUGUUUUCUUGUGGUUUUACUCUUUCCAAAAGCACUAUAGCAUUUUGUUCAACUAUUUUGUAUUGCAUAUGAAUGUCAUUCAUUGGCGAUCUGUCUAGCUUGGCUUCGAUCAUUGAUCUUUUCCUCCAAAUUUUUCCUAUUUUAAAUCUUGAAAACUCAUCCAUAUUGUAAGGGGAUUUCCUCCCUGUCUCAGCGGGCCUAAGAAGGGCAAUUAAGGGGACAAGAACUGAAAGCCCAGUCCAAAACAAGUAGAAUUUUCAACCCGGCCCAUGAGUAUAGGCUACUCUGGACGCUACCUGUAUGAGAGAACGUGCUGCAUGGGAUAGGACUCACCGACCUGGAAAGCCCUCGAAUAGUAUCUAGCUCUUGAGUACUUGCCCGCAUAAUGGGUGGAAAGUACGGGGAACCCUCGAUCUUCUGAUAUGGGAGGCAUCAACGGACCUCCAAGAACGCCAGCGAAGUGAGGCAAAUUGAAAAACCACUCCGCAUUAAUGACACCACUACCAGAGUUACACCGGUGUGGUACCACAUUAAUAACGUCGUCGUAAAGCUACACUACAUUAAAAGACUCUGAAAAGGAACAGUAGGAAGGACAUAGACUUCAUGGGGGCAGACACGAUCUGUCCCCCUAGACUCAUGGUAUAAAUAGCAAUUCAGGUACGAAAAACUCUCUCUGAUCCCUAGAUUCUCUCACUUAUUUACAAACUUCCAAGAGAAUUUACUGACUUUGGUAUCGGAGACUCAUCGGUCUUAAGGCCGUCCUCUCCUAGUUGCCUUAUUCUCUAUUCUCGCAGGCCCAAGUACUUCUGAAAACCUGAGUUACUAGAACCUGGCCCAAAGGCAUAGAAAACACAAUGUUAACACAUAAUUGAGAGCAAUGUGUUGCAUCAUGUUUUUAUUUGAUUGGAAAACUCAUCUAUUAUGGUCCAUGUGUUGCACAGGUUCUUUCUUAAACCUUUUUCCUCCCAACAUAUAUAUUGUGCUCCGGUUGUGGCUACCAUUCUUACGGAUAACAGAAAGCGGGAGCUGUGAAUCCCAAACACAAAUAGCAGCACAAAAAGGGGAAUGGAUCAAGGGAGGUGUGGGGGUUUAAGGCUAGAGGAGAUGUUGGAGAUCAGAGUUCUAAUGAUCAUUUUUCACAAACAGAUUUGGCUACAUCAUAUAUAAGAUCCAUGGACCACGUAAUAACUCGGCCGGCUGAUGAAAAUCGAUCAUCCAACUCGAUUGGUGAGAAGAACCCACAGAGGUACACGAUGUGGACAUUAUUCAACUCAGGUCUAAAUUAUUUUGAAGCACAUGAACAUGAUGAUGAUAUCUUUCAUCAUGACUAUUCAUCUCCCCCCAUGCACUUUUCCCUACUUUUUUUUUUUUUUUUUUUUUUUUUUUGGUGUUUGGCUUGGUAACCUGCAGUGAUAUCAGUUGAUCCAUUUCCAUGUCAACAUCUUAUAAAUCACCAAUAUUAAUGCGUCCUGUCGGAAAGUUUUAUUUCCCACAUAAUGUUGGAAUUAAGUACUAAGUUUUAUUACAUAUAUAGGCUUCACAAAUUGAAGUGUGGCCAAUUAAAAGUUACUAUA